ACAAAGGCUCUUUUCAGAGCCACCCACAAUAUCACUAAAGAGCUA
rfam:Patagioenas fasciata monilis isolate BTP2013 Sc31e1R_53, whole genome shotgun sequence.